UAUGUUUUUUUUUUUUUCUGCAAGUGUUUAAAAUAUUUUUUUAUGUCCUACAUUUGUUUUUUUUUUUUUCAAAUAUAGGGAUAUUAUAGUUGAUUGUGGUUAUAGUUUUCUACGACGGUGCGACUUUCGUUACCUUGGACCUAAUAUUGAAUUGGAGACAGAGAAAAACUUAUUGCCCGACCCACACUUACCACUAUAUCAAAGUUGGAAGAGAAUGCAUUACUACGAAAGAUUUAUGGGUUCCCUUGACCAUUGUAAUGAAAUAUAUAUUCCCAUUUUCAUCAUGAAAUACUACAUGCUUGCUCGAGUAAUUAUAAAAAAAAGAAAAGUUAAAGUUUGGGACUCACUUGCUCAUGAAAAGUCUCCUAUAUUACAAUCAUUUAAGAUUGUCGAGAUUUUACGCAAUCUUGAUUUGGGCUUGGAGAAUCAAAUAAAAAAUACCCCUUGUAAUUUCAAUUUUGCUAGCUUUUGCAUUGUU